UGGGGAAUUUUGGACAAUGGGCGAAAGCCUGAUCCAGCAAUGCCGCGUGUGUGAAGAAGGCCUUCGGGUUGUAAAGCACUUUUGUCCGGAAAGAAAUCCUUGGCUCUAAUACAGUCGGGGGAUGACGGUACCGGAAGAAUAAGCACCGGCUAACUACGUGCCAGCAGCCGCGGUAAUACGUAGGGUGCAAGCGUUAAUCGGAAUUACUGGGCGUAAAGCGUGCGCAGGCGGUUUGCUAAGACCGAUGUGAAAUCCCCGGGCUCAACCUGGGAACUGCAUUGGUGACUGGCAGGCUAGAGUAUGGCAGAGGGGGGUAGAAUUCCACGUGUAGCAGUGAAAUGCAUAGAGAUGUGGAGGAAUACCGAUGGCGAAGGCAGCCCCCUGGGCCAAUACUGACGCUCAUGCACGAAAGCGUGGGGGAGCAAACAGGAUUAGAUACCCUGGUAGUCCACGCCCUAAACGAUGUCAACUAGUUGUUGGGGAUUCAUUUCCUUAGUAACGUAGCUAACGCGUGAAGUUGACCGCCUGGGGAGUACGGUCGCAAGAUUAAAACUCAAAUGAAUUGACGGGGUCAUA
rnacentral:rRNA from 1 species